AUGGCCGCCGCCGCCGCCGCCCGAUGCCUCAUGCUCCGGGCGUCGCCCCCGACGGACCCCGGGAAGACCCCUUCCUCCUUCCACGCCUCCUCCAGCGCCACCCGGCUCCCUCUCCGCGCGGCCGCCUCCCCGAGCUCAGCCCGCCGUCUCCGGCCGAUGCCACUCCGGUGCUCCUCCCCGCCAUCGGGAGGCUCCGCCGAGCCGGGGCUCGCCGUGCUUCUCGAAGUGGAAGGAGUUCUUGCAGAUGUCUACCGCUUCGGCUACCGCCAAGCUUUCAAUGUAGCAUUUCAAAAUCUUGGCUUGGAUUGUGCGAAUUGGACAGAGCCAAUAUAUGCUGAUUUAGUGAGGAAAUCUAGUGGUGACGAGGAAAGGAUGCUGGUGCUGUUCUUUGACAGGAUUGGCUGGCCUACAUCUCUGCCAACUAGUGAGAAAGGGUCAUUUACAAAAAGUGUUCUUCGUGAGAAGUUGAAAGCUUUGGAGAAGCUCUCUGCUUCUGAUGACUUACCACUGCGUCCUGGAGUUGAGAAGUUCAUCGAUGAUGCACUUAGUGAGGGUGUGCCUGUAGCCAUAUUGGCAACGUAUGGCAGAAAUGGAGAGAAGAUUUCAAGAUCAAUAGUUGAAAAGUUAGGCCCUGAGAGAACGUCAAAACUAAACAUUGUUGGAAAAGAGGAGGUUGAAAGAAGCCUUUAUGGGCAGCUUGUUCUUGGUGAAGGAGUUGCCUCCAGUUUGGAUGAACAACUUACCAAGGAAGUACAAAAGGCUGCUUCUGCAGAGAAACAGAGGAUAGCAGAAGAGGUUGCAUCACUUCUAAAACUCAGCGUUGACAUUAACACAGCAUCUAAAAGUUCCGCGAAGAUAAUAGCCACGCUGCGAGCUGGGGCCGAAUAUGUGGGAUGCGAUGUACAAAACUGCAUCCUUGUAGCGGGUAGCCAACCCAGCGUCAUCGCAGCUGAGCGCAUUGGCAUGCCGUGCAUAGUUGUCCGAAGCAGCCUAACUGCUAGAGCAGAAUUUCACUCCGCGAAGGCCGUCAUGGAUGGAUUCGGUGAUACGGACCUAACAGUAUCAAAACUACUUAGCAAGAGGUGGUCCUAG
rnacentral:rRNA from 1 species